AUUGAACGCUGGCGGCAUGCCUAACACAUGCAAGUCGAACGGCAACAUGUUAUUAGUUUACUAUUAAUGAUGGCGAGUGGCGAACGGGUGAGUAACACGUAAGUAAUCUACCUUCGAGUGGGGAAUAACGUUCGGAAACGAACGCUAAUACCGCAUAAUGCAGCGGCAUCGCAAGAUGACAGUUGUUAAAGGAUUUAUUC
rnacentral:rRNA from 1 species